GUGAAUCAUCGAAUUUUUGAACGCACAUUGCGCUCUCUGCGAAUAGGAUGCCUGUUUGUGGGUCAGCCUAAAAAAACUCGAAAUAGUCGCUGUUUCUCAUUGACAUUCGUCGGAAAUGAGGUCAUCUUAAACCUUUGGGUUUUAAGCGGCUUAAAAUGUUCUUUACGAUGCCACUAACGUGUCUAAGAUUUGCGUCUUACACGUUUAAGGUAUGCGAUCUUUUUUAGACGUGGACGUUG
rnacentral:misc_RNA from 1 species